rnacentral:rRNA from 1 species
AUUGAACGCUGGCGGCAGGCCUAACACAUGCAAGUCGAACGAGUGGCGGACGGGUGAGUAAUGUCUGGGAAACUGCCUGAUGGAGGGGGAUAACUACUGGAAACGGUAGCUAAUACCGCAUACCAUCGGAUGUGCCCAGAUGGGAUUAGCUAGUAGGUGGGGUAAAGGCUCACCUAGGCGACGAUCCCUAGCUGGUCUGAGAGGAUGACAAGCCACACUGGAACUGAGACACGGUCCAGACUCCGACGGUAGGAAGCAGUGGGGAAUAUUGCCAAAUGGGCGCAAGCCUGAUGCAGCAAAGCCGUGUGUAUGAAGAAGGCUGUCGUGUUGUAAAGUACUGUCAGCAGGGAGGCGUUAGCCGCAGAAGAAGCACCGGCUAACUCCGUGCCAGCAGCCGCGGUAAUUC